rnacentral:lncRNA from 1 species
AUGUGCAAGCAAAGAGAACUUGCCACGUGAACAGAGGAGAAUCGUGGCUGCCACGUGAAGAGGGGAGGUGCGACGACAGAGCCGGAGGCGUUGUGAGAGAGCGCGACGACAAUGGCAUCGAGGUACCAUGUCGGCAAUGUGCGGAGGGAGUGCGACAGCGAGGCAAUGUGAGACUGAAUCUUGUGCGAGAAUAGUGGCGGAGUGGUGGCGACAGAGCGAUGAAGUGGUGGCCAGGGAGCAACAACGCAGUUUCAGGGUGGUUGGAGAAUAGUGAAAGCAAAGGAGAGUUUGCGCGAGAAGAAGAGGAACGGUAAGAAGGAUAACAUCUGAGAUUAUAAUAUGUUAUACUACCUAGGUUCCAAACUUAAUUGAGGUAAUAGAGGCAUAUUGCCUCGGUUAUUAGCUAACAUGAUGCCUAAACUGUCAGGAAAUAAUUAAAAAUG